AACGCUGGCGGCAGGCUUAACACAUGCAAGUCGAGCGGGCGUAGCAAUACGUCAGCGGCAGACGGGUGAGUAACGCGUGGGAACGUACCUUUUGGUUCGGAACAACACAGGGAAACUUGUGCUAAUACCGGAUAAGCCCUUACGGGGAAAGAUUUAUCGCCGAAAGAUCGGCCCGCGUCUGAUUAGCUAGUUGGUAGGGUAAUGGCCUACCAAGGCGACGAUCAGUAGCUGGUCUGAGAGGAUGAUCAGCCACAUUGGGACUGAGACACGGCCCAAACUCCUACGGGAGGCAGCAGUGGGGAAUAUUGGACAAUGGGGGCAACCCUGAUCCAGCCAUGCCGCGUGAGUGAUGAAGGCCCUAGGGUUGUAAAGCUCUUUUGUGCGGGAAGAUAAUGACGGUACCGCAAGAAUAAGCCCCGGCUAACUUCGUGCCAGCAGCCGCGGUAAUACGAAGGGGGCUAGCGUUGCUCGGAAUCACUGGGCGUAAAGGGUGCGUAGGCGGGUCUUUAAGUCAGGGGUGAAAUCCUGGAGCUCAACUCCAGAACUGCCUUUGAUACUGAAGAUCUUGAGUUCGGGAGAGGUGAGUGGAACUGCGAGUGNAGAGGUGAAAUUCGUAGAUAUUCNCAAGAACACCAGUGGCGAAGGCGGCUCACUGGCCCGAUACUGACGCU
rnacentral:rRNA from 1 species